GGAUUAUUAGUUUUAUUAUGUUUAGAAUUCUGUUUUUGUAAAACAGGGGAACUUUUAUGGGUAUAGUCCA
rnacentral:tRNA from 1 species